UCCUCCAAGGCUAAAUACUCCUGACUGACCGAUAGUGAACCAGUACCGUGAGGGAAAGGCGAAAAGAACCCCUGUGAGGGGAGUGAAAUAGAUCCUGAAACCGCAUGCAUACAAGCAGUGGGAGCACCUUCGUGGUGUGACUGCGUACCUUUUGUAUAAUGGGUCAGCGACUUAUAUUCAGUAGCGAGGUUAACCGUAUAGGGGAGCCGUAGAGAAAUCGAGUCUUAAUAGGGCGUUUAGUUGCUGGGUAUAGACCCGAAACCAGGCGAUCUAUCCAUGAGCAGGUUGAAGGUUGGGUAACACUAACUGGAGGACCGAACCCACUGUCGUUGAAAAGCCAGGGGAUGACUUGUGGAUAGGGGUGAAAGGCUAAUCAAGCCUGGUGAUAGCUGGUUCUCCCCGAAAGCUAUUUAGGUAGCGCCUCGGACGAAUACCAUAGGGGGUAGAGCACUGUUUCGGCUAGGGGGUCAUCCCGACUUACCAAACCGAUGCAAACUCCGAAUACCUAUGAGUACUAUCCGGGAGACAGACUGCGGGUGCUAACGUCCGUAGUCAAGAGGAAAACAAUCCAGACCGCCAGCUAAGGCCCCAAAAUCAUAGUUAAGUGGGAAACGAUGUGGGAAGGCAUAGACAGCUAGGAGGUUGGCUUAGAAGCAGCCACCCUUUAAAGAAAGCGUAAUAGCUCACUAGUCGAGUCGGCCUGCGCGGAAGAUGUAACGGGGCUAAAACUAUGUGCCGAAGCUGCGGAUGUAUACUUUGUAUACGUGGUAGGGGAGCGUUCUGUAAGCCGAUGAAGGUGUGUUGAGAAGCAUGCUGGAGGUAUCAGAAGUGCGAAUGCUGACGUGAGUAACGACAAAACGGGUGAAAAACCCGUUCGCCGAAAGACCAAGGGUUCCAGUCCAACGUUAAUCGGGGCUGGGUGAGUCGACCCCUAAGGCGAGGCCGAAAGGCGUAGUCGAUGGGAAAAUGGUUAAUAUUCCAUUACUUCUGUGUAAUGCGAUGAGAGGACGGAGAAGGCUAAAUCAGCCUGGCGUUGGUUGUCCAGGUGAAAGGAUGUAGGCAUGUAUCUUAGGCAAAUCCGGGGUACUCUAUGCUGAGAUCUGAUAGCAAGCUGUACUUGUACAGCGAAGUGGUUGAUGCCAUGCUUCCAGGAAAAGUCUCUAAGCUUCAGUUACACAGGAAUCGUACCCGAAACCGACACAGGUGGUCAGGUCGAGUAGACCAAGGC
rnacentral:rRNA from 1 species